AUACGGAGGGUGCAAACGUUGUUCGGAAUCACUGGGCGUAAAGGGCGCGCAGGCGGUUUGAUUAGUCAGAUGUGAAAGCCCACGGCUUAACCGUGGAAGUGCAUUUGAAACUGUCAGACUUGAGUACCAGAGGGGGUAGUGGAAUUCCCGGUGUAGAGGUGAAAUUCGUAGAUAUCGGGAGGAAUACCGGUGGCGAAGGCGACUACCUGGCUGGAUACUGACGCUGAGGCGCGAAAGCGUGGGGAGCAAACAGGAUUAGAUACCCCAGUAGUCC
rnacentral:rRNA from 1 species